GUUUUUUCGGAGACAUUCGAUAAAUUUGGAACGUGAUACAGAGAAGAUUAGCAUGGCCCCUGCUCAAGGAUGACACGCUCAAAUCGAGAAAUGGUUCAUAUUUUU